rnacentral:rRNA from 1 species
AGUGAACGCUGGCGGUAGGCCUAACACAUGCAAGUCGAACGGCAGCACAGUAAGAGCUUGCUCUUACGGGUGGCGAGUGGCGGACGGGUGAGGAAUAGAUCGGCAUCUAAUUUUUCGUGGGGGAUAACGUAGGGACACUUAUGCUAAUAGCGCAUAUGAUCUACGGGUGAAAUCAGGGGAUAUUCGGGCCUUGCGCGAUUGAAUGAGCCGAUGUCGGAUUAGCUAGUUGGCUGGGUAAAGGCCCACCAAGGCGACGAUCCGUAGCUGGUCUGUGAGGAUGAUCAGCCACACUGGAACUGAGACACGGUCCAGACUCCUACGGGAGGCAGCAGUGGGGAAUAUUGGACAAUGGGCGCAAGCCUGAUCCAGCCAUGCCGCGUGGGUGAUGAAGGCCUUCGGGUUGUAAAGCCCUUUUGUUAGGAAAGAAAAUCAGCAUGUUAAUACCCCGCUAUUCUGACGGUACCCAAAGAAUAAGCACCGGCUAACUUCGUG